rnacentral:rRNA from 1 species
CAGUCGCCACGGUAACACGUAGGGUGCAAGCGUUAUCCGGAAUUAUUGGGCGUAAAGAGCUCGUAGGCGGUUUGUCGCGUCUGCUGUGAAAACUGGAGGCUCAACCUCCAGCCUGCAGUGGGUACGGGCAGACUAGAGUGCGGUAGGGGAGAUUGGAAUUCCUGGUGUAGCGGUGGAAUGCGCAGAUAUCAGGAGGAACACCGAUGGCGAAGGCAGAUCUCUGGGCCGUAACUGACGCUGAGGAGCGAAAGCAUGGGGAGCGAACAGGAUUAGAUACCCCUGUAGUCCCUGUCUCUUAUAC